rfam:Bacillus sp. WF146 contig341, whole genome shotgun sequence.
CAACCGCCUCCGUGAGGGGGCGUUGAACAUGCAGAAGUCAGCAGAGGCCAUAGUACCCCAAUCGGGGACGCCUGAGGGGGAAGGGC